CCCCUAGACGUUCUGGGCUGCACGCGCGCUACAAUAAUACGCACAGCGAGUAUCACCGAGCUCGAAAGGGCAAGGUAAACAAUAGAAAAGGUACUGUAAUGGUUAUAGAUCCUUGUAAUUAUUGAUCUUCAACGAGGAAUUCCUAGUAAGUAUGUGUCAUCAUCACGCACUGAUUACGUCCCUGCCCUUUGUACACACCGCCCGUCGCUCCUACCGAUUGGGUGGUCCGGUGAAGCCUCGGGAUUGUGGUUCUUGCCGCUUUAUUGUGGCGUGACCGCGAGAACUUGUCUAAACCUUAUCAUCUAGAGGAAGGUGAAGUCGUAACA
rnacentral:rRNA from 1 species